CCUACGGGAGGCAGCAGUGGGGAAUAUUGCACAAUGGGGGAAACCCUGAUGCAGCGACGCCGCGUGAGUGAAGAAGUAAUUCGUUAUGUAAAGCUCUAUCAGCAGGGAAGAAAAUGACGGUACAUGAGGAAGAAGCCCCGGCUAACUACGUGCCAGCAGCCGCGGUCAUACGUAGGGGGGAAGCGUUAUCCGGAUUUACUGGGUGUAAAGGGAGCGUAGACGGCAGUGCAAGUCUGGAGUGAAAGGCGGGGGCUCAACCCCCGGACUGCUCUGGAAACUGGACGGCUGGAGUGCAGGAGAGGUAAGUGGAAUUCCUAGUGUAGCGGUGAAAUGCGUAGAUAUUAGGAGGAACACCAGUGGCGAAGGCGGCUUACUGGACUGUAACUGACGUUGAGGCUCGAAAGCGUGGGGAGCAAACAGGAUUAGAUACCCCGGUAGUC
rnacentral:rRNA from 1 species